rnacentral:rRNA from 1 species
CUACGGGGGAUGCGAGCGUUAUCCGGAUUUACUGGGUGUAAAGGGCGCGCAGGCGGCCCUGAAAGUCAGAUGUGAAAGAUCAAGGCUUAACUUUGACAGGUCAUCUGAAACUUUGGGGCUUGAGUAUCAGAGGGGAAAGUGGAAUUCCUAGUGGAGCGGUAAAAUGCACAGAGAUUAGGAGGAACACCGGUGGCGAAGGCGAAUUGCUGGCUGAAAACUGACGCGGGGGAGGGAAAGCGUGGGGAGCAAACAGGAUUAGAUACCCUGGUAGUCCACGCCGUAAACGAUGAUUACUGGGUGUAGGGGGUAUCGACUCCCUCUGUGCCGAAGCAAACGCGAUAAGUAAUCCACCUGGGGAGUACGGCCGCAAGGCUAAAACUCAAAUGAAUUGACGGGG